UUCUAGUGAUGUUUCUUCAAUUCUUCAAUUCUAAGGGAGAGAAGAGCUGACAAUAUGACCACGGUAGGCUGAUGGAGCAUUUCCAUCUUAUCAAAUUUAUCUUCAGUUCUCAGAGAGAAAAGAAAAUGUUGCACAGAAAACAUUCCAGAGUUUUUGCUUAGUUCCAAUGUCAACAUCGGAACAAGAAGAACGGGCAUCCCCUACUUAAAUGAGAAGAGCCAACAUGAAGGGCUUGGAACUCACGACAGGAAAUCAGUUCUAAAGUGUUGAGAUAAACACACCAAUUUUCUUCCUUCCACAUGCUAUUUCCACAUAAACUUUAACUUCGAGUUAGACCUGUUUGACGGGAGAAGAAAAAGGAUGAAAUUACAAACAGUGGUGGCAGAUUAUCAACAUCAGCGGCAAUCCAAAAAACACUUGAGACGCAAAACAUUUUCUUUGGAUAUCUGACAUUUUUUAGUCAUCAUAAUCUUCUGAGUUUGUGCAAGGAAUAAUAAAUUCCCU
rnacentral:lncRNA from 1 species